rnacentral:tRNA from 1 species
ACGGGUGUAGCUCAGUUGGUAGAGCAGCGGUCUCCAAAACCGCGGGUCGUGAGUUCGAGUCUUGCCACCCGUG